UACAUAAGCGGACCCUUAAAGUUGUCACAAAAUUCCAUUUAGAGACCUUAACUAUGACCUUAACCUAUUGAACACUUAAUGUCUCACAUAAUAGUAUCUAUUGAACACAAAUUUGACAAUUCCAAACCAGCUCUAGUGCGUGUACAUCAAUCUCUUUUGAAGUGGCAAACUAAACCAAUUAAAAUAAUACAUGACAGGAAAAUAAUAUAAAGGUACAAAAAAAUAGUCAAAAUUUGACCCAAAAAAUAAGAAAGAGAAAGCAGGUGGCGGCCGGUGGAAGGGAAGGUGUCAGUGGGCGAGAAAGGUCGAGAAAUUUAUCGGCCGACCGUAAAGCAUUUUCCGAUCUUUAUUGAAUGGAGAAGGAAAGGUGGUCCUUCAAUCAUAGAUAAGCAAACGAAAACAAACAUACCGUAAUAAGAAAAGAAAGUAGCAAGGAAAAAUAAAUUGAUGGUUACUGAUGGUUCUUUUUAGACACCUAUUUUAUAUUUUUUGGUGUUUAAAGCAUGGGUGAUUCAGACCUACCUUAGAUGAAAUAGGAGAUGGGCAGUUCUGGUGCAAUCCGAAUAAGUCAUAGGUAAUACUUGUGGUGAUUGUCGGAUCUGACGACGGAGAGGGAUGUGGUGUGAUGAUGGCCAGACUUGAAGAGAAGGGAAGGUGGCCGGAGAAGAAAAGGUAUCUAGUCAUUUUCCGGAAGUAAUAAAAGUUUUAGGCUAUUCACGCGCUUGGAAGAGAUGACAAACACAUAUAUUUACAUGUCAGCAAAAUGUGUUCAAUAGAUACACUUGUGUGUAACAUCAAAUGUUGAAUGGGUAAAGGUCAUAGUUAAAGUGUCUAAAUAAAAUUUUGUUACAAUUUUAA